UUAAGUUCAGCGGGUAUCCCUACCUGAUCCGAGGUCAAACUCUAGAUGGUACCAAGGCCGGUCCUGUAUAAGCUCCGAAGCGAGGGUUUGACUUGCUACGCUUGAAGCCGAACGGUGCCGCCAACCGGUUACAGGUGGGUCCGGAGACCCCACCCAAGACCAAGCGGUGCUUGAUAGUUUUAAAUGACGCUCGAACAGGC
rnacentral:misc_RNA from 1 species